rnacentral:tRNA from 1 species
ACCGGUUUGGCUCAGUGGAUAGAGCAUCAGCCUGUGGACUGAAGGGUCCCAGGUUCGAUUCCUGUCACGGGCA